rnacentral:tRNA from 1 species
UGGAUCACCUCCUAACAGGGAGACAAUACCUGAUCGUGAUGUCUGAGUACUUUAUUCUCAGGCCAUGAUCCUGUCAUCUCGAAGGUCGAUCGGUGCCUCAAUUUGAGGGUAAGAGAGAGGAUGAGCAAUCAUCUUUGAGACUUACCAAUCAAUUUCAGUUCCUAAACUUUGUCUAGGUCACCCCACAGGGCUGUCAAACAAGCGUUUGACGCUACUGAGCGGUAGCAACUCCUGGGCCAUUAGCUCAGGUGGUUAGAGCGCACCCCUGAUAAGGGUGAGGUCCCUGGUUCAAGUCCAGGAUGGCCCAUUCGUGUUUGGGGGUUUAGCUCAGUUGGUAGAGCGCCUGCUUUGCAAGCAGGAUGUCAGCGGUUCGAGUCCGCUAACCUCCAUCCAAUGCUGUUGCUCUUCCCUCGGACCAUGCAUGCUCAUGAGAGUGUGUGAGGUAAGGAGUUUUGCUGUUGUGUUGAUCUAGAUCGUUGUUCGCUGAGGAUUUCAGCUUCUUUUCAUUCUUGCCUUGUUCAAGGAUAAGUUGAAAAGACGCUGGAUUCAAGGGUGCCCUGGCAACAGGGCCAUUUGAAUGUCAGCAGAACCUUGACAACUGCAUAGUUGAAGUCUGGAAAUAAAGCAUCUCAUGGAUGCUUGAUUCAGAUCCGAAGUCAAGUCCAGUAAUGGAUUUGACGAAGGAUGGGAAUCAAGAAAAUUCUAUUGAGUUUUUAGAGCCGAGAGCUUCCAGUUUUCUUCUGAGCCCGCCGAGGGUUUGGGAGUUUGAUCCUGGCAUUCAAACCGCAAGCGAGAGUCUGAGCAAUCAGGGUUGAAGGUUGUAGGUGAAUCUAGAGAGAAUAGGCCUCAACAGCCUGAAGAACUGGGAGUUGAAAUUGGUCAAGCUACAAAGGGCUCACGGUGGAUACCUUGGCACACAGAGGCGAUGAAGG